rnacentral:sRNA from 1 species
GUGCUGAGUGGGUAUUUAUAUUCAAUACAGAUGAUAGACAAAGUAAAGAACCUUGCAUAUUUAUGACGAUGAGGCCGGAGUCUUCUUGUCAGAUAAAACGUUAGAUGCCAUUAAUGAAUUGAGAACUAUUCUAUUAUU